AAAUAACCUAAAGGGGCUGAUGUGAUACCCUGGGACUGUUGCAGAUGUCAAGAUUUGUAGUUUGGACCACUUCAUUUGGAGACUGAUCCACAGAGCUGGGAAAUCAAUUUUGCUUCAGUAACUAAAUCUUUGGUUUAACCUGUGGUAGCCUUUGGAGCAGGAUAUCAGAAGAAAUGAUGGCAUGGAGUCAGGAAGAAAAGGUGAAAAGUGAACAAGAAAGAAACCAGAACCACUUCUCUUAGUAGCACUGGCUUACCCUGAGUUUGUCCUGACCUACCUAGAGGAACUAAAUGAAAGAGGAGGUGACCCAGACAGAAAACCGCAUUCACCAUGGGGCCUGAUCUGCAGCUCAUCGGGAGAUAGACAGCAGCUCAGCAGAAGAGAUACCACAAAAAAAUGUCAGCAACCCCAAUCAGAAACAACUUUCAGGACCUUUGGACGCCCAUUUAAUGCCUGCAGAUCCCCUAGGGGAGACUACACAGCUGACAGUGGCACUGGUGAGGAAACUAGAAGAGAAACAUCCUAA
rnacentral:lncRNA from 1 species